rnacentral:rRNA from 1 species
CCUACGGGGGGCAGCAGUGGGGAAUAUUGCACAAUGGGCGCAAGCCUGAUGCAGCCAUGCCGCGUGUAUGAAGAAGGCCUUCGGGUUGUAAAGUACUUUCAGCGGGGAGGAAGGUGUUGAGGUUAAUAGCCUCAGCAAUUGACGUUACCCGCAGAAGAAGCACCGGCUAACUCCGUGCCAGCAGCCGCGGUAAUACGGAGGGUGCAAGCGUUAAUCGGAAUUACUGGGCGUAAAGCGCACGCAGGCGGUCUGUCAAGUCGGAUGUGAAAUCCCCGGGCUCAACCUGGGAACUGCAUUCGAGACUGGCAGGCUAGAGUCUUGUAGAGGGGGGUAGAAUUCCAGGUGUAGCGGUGAAAUGCGUAGAGAUCUGGAGGAAUACCGGUGGCGAAGGCGACCCCCUGGACAAAGACUGACGCUCAGGUGCGAAAGCGUGGGGAGCAAACAGGAUUAGAUACCCUCGUAGUC